GGUAACAUUUCUAGCUUGCUAGAAGAUGACGAGUGGCGGACGGGUGAGUAAUACUUAGGAAUAUGCCUUUGUGUGGGGGAUAACUAUUGGAAACGAUAGCUAAUACCGCAUAACGUCUUCGGACCAAAGGGGGCUUCGGCUCCCGCGCAAAGAGUAGCCUAAGCGAGAUUAGCUUGUUGGUGAGGUAAAGGCUCACCAAGGCGACGAUCUCUAGCUGUUCUGAGAGGAAGAUCAGCCACACUGGGACUGAGACACGGCCCAGACUCCUACGGGAGGCAGCAGUGGGGAAUAUUGCACAAUGGGGGCAACCCUGAUGCAGCCAUGCCGCGUGUGUGAAGAAGGCCUUCGGGUUGUAAAGCACUUUCAGUUGUGAGGAAAGUUUGAUGGUUAAUACCCAUUAGAUGUGACGUUAACAACAGAAGAAGGACCGGCUAACUCCGUGCCAGCAGCCGCGGUAAUACGGAGGGUCCGAGCGUUAAUCGGAAUUACUGGGCGUAAAGCGCACGCAGGCGGUUUGUUAAGCUAGAUGUGAAAGCCCCGGGCUCAACCUGGGAAUAGCAUUUAGAACUGGCAGACUAGAGUCUUGGAGAGGGGAGUGGAAUUUCUGGUGUAGCG
rnacentral:rRNA from 1 species